rnacentral:rRNA from 1 species
AUGCCGGAAGCACCGAGUGCCCAGCCAGCUCCCGCCUCCGGCUACGCCCCCGGGGCGCACCGCGAGGCGCUCGACUUCAUCGAGCACGUCACGGCGAACGCCGGGAAGGUGCAGCAGCGCGUACUCGCCGAGAUCCUUGCGCAGAACGAGACGGCCGAGUACCUGCGCCGGUACGGCGUCUCCUCCAGCAGCAGCCCCCUCGAUCCCGUAGACGCCUUCCGCCGCUGCGUCCCGCUCGUGACCUACGAGGACCUCCAGCCUGACAUACUCCGCAUCGCCAACGGUGACUCCUCGCCGAUCCUCUCCGGCAAGCCCAUCUCCGAGUUCCUCACAAGCUCCGGCACUUCCGGAGGGGAAAGGAAGCUCAUGCCGACCAUCGCCGACGAGCUUGACAGGAGGUCGCUGCUGUACAGUCUACUGAUGCCGGUGAUGAGCCAGUCGCUGCCCGGGCUGGACAAAGGCAAGGCGAUGUACCUGCUCUUCGUGAAGGCCGAGUCGCGGACGCCAGGAGGGCUGGCCGCGCGGCCGGUGUUGACAAGUUACUACCGGAGCCGGCAGUUCCUCGACAGGCCGCACGACCCGUACACGGCGUACACGAGCCCCAACGAGGCCAUCUUGUGCGUGGACUCCUACCAGAGCAUGUACGCCCAGCUGCUCUGCGGCCUCGUGCACCGCACCGACGUGCUGCGCGUGGGCGCGGUGUUCGCGUCGGGCUUCCUCCGCGCAAUACGCUUCCUUGAGAAGCACUGGCCUCGCCUGUGCCACGACAUCCGCACCGGCGAGCUCGACCCGGAGAUCACCGACCGCUCGGUGCGCGACGCCGUCGGGAGGUUGCUCCACGCCAACCCAGCCCUCGCCAGCGAGAUCGAGGCCGAGUGUUCGAAGCCGUCGUGGGAGGGCAUCAUCCGACGCCUGUGGCCCCGCACCAAGUACAUCGACGUGAUCGUGACCGGCGCCAUGUCGCAGUACAUCCCGACGCUCGAGUUCUACGGCGGUGGCCUGCCGCUCAUCUGCACCAUGUACGCUUCUUCGGAGUGUUACUUCGGCCUGAACCUCAACCCCAUGUGCAAGCCCGGCGAGGUCGCGUACACCCUCAUCCCCACCAUGUGCCACUUCGAGUUCCUCCCCGUCCAUUGCAGCAACGCCAAUGCCGAGCCGAGCCACCGCGACCUCGUCGAUCUGGUCGACGUGAAGCUCGGUCACGAUUACGAACUCGUGGUAACCACCUUCUCAGGUUUGUGCCGGUAUCGUGUGGGCGACGUACUGAGGGUAGCAGGGUUCAAGAACGAGGCGCCGAUGUUCAGCUUCGUGCGACGGCGGAACGUGGCGCUGAGCAUCGACUCGGACAAGACGGACGAGACGGAGCUGCACACGGCGGUGAGCAGCGCGGUGCAGCACCUGGCGCCGUUCGGCGCAUCGCUGGUGGAGUACACCAGCUACGCCGAUACCGCCGCCAUCCCAGGCCACUACGUGCUGUUCUGGGAGCUGCGCGAGGGCAGCACGGCGGUGCCGGCGUCCGUGUUCGAGGAGUGCUGCCUGUCCGUGGAGGAGGCCCUGAACAGCGUGUACCGGCAGUGCCGCGCCUGCGACAGGUCCAUCGGCCCCCUCGAGAUCCGCGUCGUGUCCGAGGGCACCUUCGAGAAGCUCAUGGACUACGCGCUCAGCCAGGGCGCGUCCAUCAACCAGUACAAGGCGCCGCGCUGCGUGCGCCCCGGGCCGGUCGUCGAGCUCCUGGACGCGAGGGUGCAGGCCAGCUACUUCAGCCCCAAGUGCCCAAAAUGGAGCCCCGGGAACAAGCAAUGGAACACCUCCUCCAAGGAGCUGCUGAGCAUCGGAGACGCCUAG